GACGAACGCUGGCGGCGUGCUUAACACAUGCAAGUCGAACGGAAAGGCCCUGCUUUUGUGGGGUGCUCGAGUGGCGAACGGGUGAGUAACACGUGAGUAACCUGCCCUUGACUUUGGGAUAACUUCAGGAAACUGGGGCUAAUACCGGAUAGGAGCUCUUGCUGCAUGGUGGGGGUUGGAAAGUUUCGGCGGUUGGGGAUGGACUCGCGGCUUAUCAGCUUGUUGGUGGGGUAGUGGCUUACCAAGGCUUUGACGGGUAGCCGGCCUGAGAGGGUGACCGGCGACAUUGGGACUGAGAUACGGACCAGACUCCUACGGGAGGCAGCAGUGGGGAGUAUUGCACAAUGGGCGGAAGCCAGAUGCAGCGACGCCGCGUGCGGGAUGACGGCCUUCGAGUUGUAAACCGCUGUCGCAUGUGACGAAGCGUGAGUGACGGUAAUGGGUAAAAAAGCACCGGCUAACUACGUG
rnacentral:rRNA from 1 species